AUUGAACGCUGGCGGCAUGCCUUACACAUGCAAGUCGAACGGUAACAGGUCUUCGGAUGCUGACGAGUGGCGAACGGGUGAGUAAUACAUCGGAACGUGCCUAGUAGUGGGGGAUAACUACUCGAAAGAGUGGCUAAUACCGCAUGAGAUCUACGGAUGAAAGCAGGGGAUCGCAAGACCUUGUGCUACUAGAGCGGCCGAUGGCAGAUUAGGUAGUUGGUGGGAUGAAAGCUUACCAAGCCGACGAUCUGUAGCUGGUCUGAGAGGACGAUCAGCCACACUGGGACUGAGACACGGCCCAGACUCCUACGGGAGGCAGCAGUGGGGAAUUUUGGACAAUGGGCGCAAGCCUGAUCCAGCAAUGCCGCGUGCAAGAUGAAGGCCUUCGGGUUGUAAACUGCUUUUGUACGGAACGAAAAGCCCCGGGUUAAUACCCUGGGGUCAUGACGGUACCGUAAGAAUAAGCACCGGCUAACUACGUGCCAGCCGCCGCCGUAA
rnacentral:rRNA from 1 species